rnacentral:rRNA from 1 species
UGGCGGACGGGUGAGUAAUGUCUGGGAAACUGCCUGAUGGAGGGGGAUAACUACUGGAAACGGUAGCUAAUACCGCAUAACGUCGCAGACCAAAGAGGGGGACCUUCGGGCCUCUUGCCAUCGGAUGUGCCCAGAUGGGAUUAGCUAGUAGGUGGGGUAAAGGCUCACCUAGGCGACGAUCCCUAGCUGGUCUGAGAGGAUGACCAGCCACACUGGAACUGAGACACGGUCCAG